GAACCUACUAAUCACAAUGACAUUGCAGAAAAUGCACACUGAUGAUUCCUCAUUUGAUGUCACACACAUGAAUUCACCUAGUUCAAAUGAUCCAGUAUCUACUCCACCUCUUUUACAUUCUACUUAUAUAGCUCCAACUUCCCUUCCUAGAACCUCUGCAUUGUCUUCAACACAUUCACCUUCACUCAUUAAUUCUUUACCGGUACAUCAUCUCGUGAGAAGAUCAUAGAGGGAACAUAAAACUCAUGACUAUCUG
rnacentral:lncRNA from 1 species